AGUGAACGCUGGCGGUAGGCCUAACACAUGCAAGUCGAACGGCAGCACAGGAGAGCUUGCUCUCUGGGUGGCGAGUGGCGGACGGGUGAGGAAUACAUCGGAAUCUACUUUUUCGUGGGGGAUAACGUAGGGAAACUUAAGCUAAUACCGCAUACGACCUACGGGUGAAGGCAGGGGAUCUUCGGACCUUGCGCGAUUGAAUGAGCCGAUGUCGGAUUAGCUAGUUGGAGAGGUAAAGGCCCACCAAGGCGACGAUCCGUAGCUGGUCUGAGAGGAUGAUCAGCCACACUGGAACUGAGACACGGUCCAGACUCCUACGGGAGGCAGCAGUGGGGAAUAUUGGACAAUGGGCGCAAGCCUGAUCCAGCCAUACCGCGUGGGUGAAGAAGGCCUUCGGGUUGUAAAGCCCUUUUGUUGGGAAAGAAAUCCAGCUGGCUAAUACCCGGUUGGGAUGACGGUACCCAAAGAAUAAGCACCGGCUAACUUCGUGCCAGCCGCCGCGGUAA
rnacentral:rRNA from 1 species